AUUGAACGCUGGCGGAAUGCUUUACACAUGCAAGUCGAACGGCAGCAGACUUCGGUCUGGUGGCGAGUGGCGAACGGGUGAGUAACAUAUCGGAACGUAUCCAAUAAUGGGGGAUAACUAAUCGAAAGGUUGGCUAAUACCGCAUACGCCCUACGGGGGAAAGCAGGGGAUCUUCGGACCUUGCGUUAAUGGAGCGGCUGAUAUCUGAUUAGCUAGUUGGUGAGGUAAAGGCUCACCAAGGCGACGAUCAGUAGCUGGUCUGAGAGGACGACCAGCCACACUGGAACUGAGACACGGUCCAGACUCCUACGGGAGGCAGCAGUGGGGAAUUUUGGACAAUGGGCGCAAGCCUGAGCCAGCCAUUCCGCGUGAGUGAAGAAGGCCUUCGGGUUGUAAAGCUCUUUCGCAAGGGAAGAAAACUUACUUUCUAAUAAAGAGUGAGGUUGACGGUACCUUGAUAAGAAGCACCGGCUAACUACGUGCCAGCAGCCGCCGUAA
rnacentral:rRNA from 1 species